UAACGCGUGGGGAACCUGCCCUAUACAGGGGGAUAACAGCUGGAAACGGCUGCUAAUACCGCAUAAGCGCACAGAAUCGCAUGAUUCAGUGUGAAAAGCCCUGGCAGUAUAGGAUGGUCCCGCGUCUGAUUAGCUGGUUGGUGAGGUAACGGCUCACCAAGGCGACGAUCAGUAGCCGGCUUGAGAGAGUGAACGGCCACAUUGGGACUGAGACACGGCCCAAACUCCUACGGGAGGCAGCAUG
rnacentral:rRNA from 1 species